rnacentral:rRNA from 1 species
CCUACGGGUGGCAGCAGUGGGGGAUAUUGCACAAUGGGGGAAACCCUGAUGCAGCGACGCCGCGUGAGUGAAGAAGUAUUUCGGUAUGUAAAGCUCUAUCAGCAGGGAAGAACAUUACAGUACCUGACCAAGAAACCACGGCCAACUACGUGCCAGCAGCCGCGGUAAGACGGCGGGGGCCAGCGUUAUCCGGGUUUACUGGGUGUAAAGGGAGCGUAGACGGGUAGGUAAGUCUGGAGUGAAAGCCCGGGGCCCAACCCCGGGACUGCAUUGGAAACUGGGUAACUGGAGUACAGGAGGGGUAGGCGGAAUUCCUGGUGUAGCGGUGAAAUGCGUAGAUAUCAGGAGGAACACCAGCGGCGAAGGCGGCCUGCUGGACUGAAACUGACGUUGAGGCUCGAAAGCGUGGGGAGCAAACAGGAUUAGAUACCCCUGUAGUC